GUAGUACGGCUCCGGGUAUAAAAGCUGAUCCCGAUUUCCACUCAAUCAAUCCAUUCACGACACUCAACAAAGAUGCAAUUUAAUAUGGGAGCCGUUUUUCUGGCGCUGCUGGGUCUGCUUGCUUUUGGGCCACUGACGCCAUCCGAGGCACGCCAUCGGCAGGGACCCAUCUUCGAUACGAGGCCGUCGCCCUUCAAUCCCAAUCAACCCAGGAGAGGACCUUUAUAAGGAACGACCGUGUUGUUACUGCUGCUGCUGAUGUCGUUAACACAUUUAAUUAAUUUAAUGCAAUUAAAGAAAACUGAACAUCAAAGGCAUGAAAACGAGUAACUAAAUUACAUUCAUUCCAAAUGGAAAAGGGGAGAGGGAGGCUCUGUUGGAAUAUACCUUUCACUUCAUCUAGGAGCAGCACGCAAAUCAGCAAAACUUUCCAGUUGCUGAACAAUUUUCCAAGUCUCUUGCGGCCUCUCACUCUGCGAACUUUGUCGGGUUGCCACGUUUUGAGCAAAUUAUAGAUAAGUACUAGAUGCAGUUUGAGACACUUAAGUUCUGGGGAGAGACUGCAGUUAGUGUAAAUUUGAGAGCCAUUCAACUGUUCGUGAUGAUCAUUUCUGACUCAUAAAAAAAUUCUAAAUUUGAAUGGAGCAUCGGCUACCACACUACC
rnacentral:lncRNA from 1 species